UACGUAGGGUGCGAGCGUUGUCCGGAAUUAUUGGGCGUAAAGGGCUCGUAGGCGGUCUGUUGCGUCGGGAGUGAAAACUCAGGGCCUAACCCUGAGCCUGCUUCCGAUACGGGCAGACUAGAGGUAUGCAGGGGAGAACGGAAUUCUUGGUGUAGCGGUGAAAUGCGUAGAUAUCAAGAGGAACACCUGAGGUGAAGACGGGUUGCUGGGCCGACACUGACGCUGACAGCGCGAAAGCCAGGGGAGCAAACGGG
rnacentral:rRNA from 1 species